CUAAAAAAAAUCAUUCUUUCACUGCUUUAAAAAAAAAUCUCAGAGAAAAGAAAAAAAACAUUCUGCUCCCUUUUCCUUGGCCGAACGAACCACCAUCGGCCCCGCCGUGUGCGGUGGUCAGAGGCUCCCUACGGUCGGUUUUUCAACCCCGUUUCAGGGACCAACUGAAGGCCCAACUUUCGUGGCCUCAGGACUAUGGAGCGGAACCCCAAACGCCACCCUCCUAGUCCGAUUUCGGUGACCCGAAGGAGGACUUCGGCGACGGCACUGGCCGGGCGAUUCAGGUGUUUGGUGGCAGGCUACAAAGGCAGAGGGUAUGGGGGGAUGGGACACGACGAACGGUGGUGGCAGAUGUGUUCAAAUAUUGUCAAAGCAAAAAUUGCUAAAAACACUUACGUUUAAAAUCAUAUACAAUCCAACUCAACUUCAAAUUUA